rnacentral:lncRNA from 1 species
CAACCCUCAGCGUGGACGCUGGCAGCUGCGACCUCUCAUGAAAGGGUGCGGAUGGCCUCUGGUGAACUGGAUGAGGUCUCUGUUGUUGUGGUGAUGAAAGAAGAUAACAUAAAAACAGAAAAAUGGCGAAGAGCACAGAUUCCACAGCCUAAUGUCCUGAGUUUAAAUUCCUACUCUGCCAUUUACCAGAGUUCCACUCUUGUCGCCCAG